rnacentral:rRNA from 1 species
UACGUAGGGGGCGAGCGUUGUCCGGAUUUAUUGGGCGUAAAGAGCUCGUAGGCGGUUCGAUAAGUCGGAUGUGAAAUCUCCACGCUCAACGUGGAGGGGCCAUUCGAUACUGUCGUGACUCGAGUCCGGUAGGGGAGUGUGGAAUUCCCGGUGUAGCGGUGAAAUGCGCAGAGAUCGGGAGGAACACCCGUAGCGAAGGCGGCACUCUGGGCCGGUACUGACGCUGAGGAGCGAAGGCGUGGGGAGCGAACAGG